rnacentral:rRNA from 1 species
UACGUAGGGUGCGAGCGUGUCCGGAAUUAUUUGGGGCGUAAAAGGGCUCGUAGGCGGUCUGUUGCGUCAGGAGUGAAAACUCGGGGCUUAACCCCGAGCCUGCUUCUGAUACGGGCAGACUAGAGGUAUGCAGGGGGAGAACGGAAUUCCUGGUGAGCGGUGAAAUGCGCAGAUAUCAGGAGGAACGACCGGUGGCGAAGGCGGUUCUCUGG